GUCGACCCCAGAGAACCAGGCUUCGACGCGCGAUCCAUUAUCGUGCAAGGCUUGGUCGACUGGAACAGAGCCCAUCGAGGUGGACUCGACAGAGAUGCGCCUACGAGCAGUCGAGUGCACGUUUCUGGUCCGGAAUGUUUCAGCAGAGCUAUCAGAGCCGCAGUGAUUCCUCCCAAUUUCAGGUUGGCAACAGGAGUCAGCAAGUUCACCGGUGAGUCUAAGCCUGAAACUUGGCUUGAGGACUACCGAGUGGCAGUUCAGAUUGGUGGUGGGAAUGACGAGGUGGCCAUGAAGCAUUUGCCCCUCAUGUUGGAAGGUUCUGCCAGAGCGUGGUUGAAUCAGUUACCUCCUAGCAGCAUUUACACUUGGGAAGAUCUGUCCCGAGUGUUCGUC
rnacentral:rRNA from 1 species